GUUUGUAUGUCUGUGUGUGUGUCAGUAUGUAUGCCUGUGUGUCAGUUUGUAUGUCUGUGUGUGUGUCAGUUUGUAUGUCUGUGUGUGUGUCAGUUUGUAUGUCUGUGUGUGUGUGUGUCAGUUUGUAUGUCUGUGUGUGUGUCAGUAUGUAUGUCUGUGUGUAUGUCAGUAUGUCUGUGUGUGUCAGUUUGUGUGUCUGUAUGUAUGUCGGUGUGCCAAUCAGUAUGUCUGUGUAUGUGUCAGUAUGUAUGUCUGUCACAGUGUCAGUAUGUCUGUCACAGUGUCUGUGUGUGUGUGUGUGUGUCAGUGUGUAUCUGUAUGUUGUCAGUAUGUAUGUAUCUGUGUGUGUGUGCC